rnacentral:rRNA from 1 species
GGCGAGCUACGGCAUAUUAAUCGCUGCGGGCGCAGCGAAGGCGCGUGCGCUUCCGUGACGUCGGCGCCUCGAGCGUCGCGUCGCGGUCGCGUCGGUGUGAGGCGAUGGCGGCGGCGGUUGCGGUCUUCCGCGAUCGUUCGGCCGCUCGCAGCCUCGAGAUGGUCUCGUAUCGCAUUCGAGUCAUACUCGUAGCCGCCGCGUCGGGACCCGAAAGGCGGUGAACUAUACCCGGCCAGGGUGAAGUUAGGGGAAACCCUGAUGCAGGCCCGUCGCGUUUCUAACGUGCAAAUUGAUCGUCUGAGCCGGGUAUAGGGGCGAAAGACCAAUCGAACCGUCUAGUAGCUGGUUCCUUUCGAAGUUUCCCUCAGGAUAGCUGAAACGAGCCGAAUCGUACGUACGAAUUAGUCGCGUGAGGUAAAGCGAAUGAUUAGAGGCAUUGGGGCUGAAACGGUCUUAACCUAUUCUCAAACUUUCAAUAUGCGCUGGCCGGCGGCUUGCGAUAAUUCGCGCGCGCUUUUCGGCGCGCGCGGGAAGCCGCCAUGCGAUAGAGCGUUUCUAGUGGGCCAGCCCUGGUAAGCAGGACCGGGCGAUGUGGGAUGAACCAAAUGCACGAGUUAGAGUGCCAAAAAAGUACGUUAAUCAGAAACCACAAAAGGCGUUAGUAACUAAAGACAGCAGGACGGUGGACAUGGAAGUAGACG